rnacentral:rRNA from 1 species
UACGAGGGGGCCAAGCGUUGUUCGGAAUUAUUGGGCGUAAAGGGCGCGUAGGCGGCCAUUCAAGUGACGGGUGAAAGCCCUCGGCUUAACCGAGGAACUGCCUGUCAGACUGGAUGGCUUGAGACCGGGAGAGGUGAGUGGAAUUCCCAGUGUAGCGGUGAAAUGCGUAGAUAUUGGGAGGAACACCAGUGGCGAAGGCGGCUCACUGGACCGGAACUGACGCUGAGGCGCGAAAGCGUGGGGAGCAAACAGG